AGGUGCGAUCAUACCAGCACUAAUGCACUGGAUCCUAUCAGAACUCCGCGAUGAAGCGUGCAUAGGCAAGAGUAGUACUAGGAUGGGUGACUUCCUGAGAAGUCCUCGUGUUGCACCCC
rnacentral:rRNA from 1 species